rnacentral:rRNA from 1 species
UACGGAGGGGGCAAGCGUUGUUCGGAAUUACUGGGCGUAAAGGGCUCGUAGGUGGCCAACUAAGUCAUACGUGAAAUCCCUCAGCUUAACUGGGGAACUGCGUGUGAUACUGGAUGGCUUGGAUUUGGGAGAGGGAUGCGGAAUUCCAGGUGUAGCGGUGAAAUGCGUAGAUAUCUGGAGGAACACCGGUGGCGAAGGCGGCAUCCUGGACCAAUAUUGACGCUGAGGAGCGAAAGCCAGGGGAGCAAACGGG